rnacentral:rRNA from 1 species
CCUACGGGUGGCAGCAGUGGGGAAUAUUGCACAAUGGGGGAAACUCUGAAGCAGCGAUGCCGCGUGAGUGAAGAAGGAACUCUUUAUGUUAAGCUCCAUCAGCAGGGAAGAAAAUGACGGUACCCGUGUAAGAAGCCCCGGCUAACAACGUGCCAGCAGCCGCGGUAAUACGCAGGGGGCAAGCGUUAUCCGGAUUUACUGGGUGUAAAGGGAGCGUAGACGGCCGUGCAAGUCUGGAGUGAAAGGCGGGGGUUCAACCCCCGAACUGCUCGUGAAACUGUACGGCUGGAGAGCAGGAGAGGUAAGUGGAAUUCCUAGUGUAGCGGUGAAAUGCGUAGAGAUUAGGAGGAACACCAGUGGCGAAGGCAGCUUACUGGGCUAUAACUGACGUUGAGGCUCGAAAGCGUGGGGAGCAAACAGGAUUAGAUACCCUUGGAGUC